ACUGUAUUGGUUUUUUUAUUUUUUUGUUGGUUUUUUUUUUUUUUUUUUUUAAUAUUUUUGAGCCUUGGUUGGUUGAAUCCAUGGAUGCAGAAACCAUGGAUACAGAGGGCUGACUGUAUAUAGAAACAAAGCUACCCAAGACCUCAGCCCACAGUCACUCUGGUUGUUCUCCUGACCACAUCACACUGCUGACUUCUAAUGCAUUUUGUGCCAACUUGAAAUCCAUUCUUUUAUGGAUUUUUCCAGUGCCAUUUAGCACAUAUAUUGCCAUUUAGCCAUUUAUAUUACUCACAAGUCAUACCCUACUAAACACCCGUCAGAUGGACUUGUCUACUUUAUUGAGAAACAACAGAAGAUAAACCUGCAUGUCCAGCUGUUCGUCUACCUCCACCCCACAGCCCAAGCCACAUUCCCACCGCUUGUGGAUGAAGCCCAGGGAUGCAGAUCCCAUUCCAAGAUCCCCGCUCCUGUUCUCAGAUCCUGCCAAACCGAAAACUGUCUCCAGGACACAAGGCUAUUCCAAGCAACAUUAAGAGAGAGCUCUGUAGGAAAAGAGGAUCUCGUCAACACAAUUCUCAGAAUAACAAAGCAGCCAGCAGGCAGGGCAGCAGGGUCAAUUUGCUAAUCACAGGGCUGGGAGCUUGUGAUCCCUGAUAGCAUCAUUCUAAACCUGUGUCUUUCUAAAAAGAGAGAAAAAAUGUUAUUUUCUUUCACAGUUCUGAUGGCACUGUUUGCCUUCAAGGUCCAUGUAGUAAGUACAAUGACGCCUCCCAUUAUUAGUGUGUUUUACCUUUUAUUAAAUGAUUUCCCAGUCUCAUUGAAUCCCUUCCAACAACUAUCCCAGGAAGUAGUAUUAUACCCACAUUUAGUGAUAGGAAAACUGAGGUUCAGAGAGGUUAAGUAUAUUCCCAAAGUCACACCAGCAAUAAGUAGCAAAAGAAACACUGGUUUAGGAGACUCCAGUUCCAAUUCUGGAGACUCCAGUUCCAAUUCUGCUACAUACAAACUGUUUUAACCCUGGUUAACUUAAUUCUAAACCUCAGUUUCUACACCUGAAAAUUGGAGAUUAAAAGAGCCACUCUGCUUAUAUCUCAGAGCAGUUAUAAGGAUCAUAUGAGAUAAUGAGAGUGAAAGCCCUAUGGAAAAGGGUAAGGCGUUAUAAAAGUGUAGGGGAUUAUUGUGUGAUUACUUGCAAAUGACUGUGCAUUCCAUUACAAAUACAAAAAGCAGUGAGAUCAUUCGCAAGACAAAGAAACAUUAAGGCUCUGGGAAUUAAGGGAAAAUGAUUUGAUGUUCUACGGGGUUAUGUCUAUAUGCCACUCACUCUUGCAGUUCAAAGCUCAGCAGCAGCUGUCAGAUUUUCCAACUCCAAGUCACAUAUGUCUACAGGAUGGCUCAAGACAAAAUCUCCCUUUUCAGCUAAAAGCAAAUGCUGGGCCAAAAGGAGGUAAUAGAGAUGGACGUUUCAAAGACCCCCUGAGAUUCUCAGUUCCGGAAAUGUGGCCUGCGAUGUUUUCCUUGGAGAAGCUGUUAGAAACACAGGCUCCAGUCUCUCUGAAAUAAGCCCGUGGGGAAAUAAACAUACAGUAAGGAGCUAUUUUCCAGAGAGCACUGAGGAUGCUCCCAAGCAUGAAUUAAUCAAGGGCACAGGGUAUUUCAAGCUGCAGAUACCAAAGAGCUAGUAAUCUCCAACCCACUGAACCUUCCAGCCCAGCUCACAAGCUUACCCUGGAAUUCUAGCAUCCCUAGCAGUGCACAGCAGGCUGAGCCAGCAGAUGAGGCUCAUUUACAUACCAGGUCUUGCUGAAGAUCACCUGGGGGCCGCAGGGGACCCAAGGAGCUCUGAGAGCAAGCUGGUCUGGCUUCCUUCGGGCCUUUCCCAACAUGCUACUUGUCGGGAUUCUCUUCAAUUCCUGAAAAGAGCCAAGUCAUCUCUGUCAUUUGUAGAGGGGCCGGAUCUUUGCCAGAAAUCCAUUCCCAAGGCUGAUGAGCACAGAGCCCAGUGAGGACUGUUUUCUGGUUGCUUUUUAUCAUUUGAUUCCUGUGCUGAUCAUUUGAGAAAGGCACUAAAGUAAUUUAUGGCAUAGAUGUGUGAGCAUCUACUCUAUGUGUGUGUGCUUGAAUCCCCAGUGAUGUUACAGCAACAAGCUGUGAGAUACAAACAACUUCAAGGAGCUCACAAAUCCAGUUCAAGACAGAGACUGACUGCAAUUGAAGGACAAGAUGUUGUAAACUCUAUGAGUUCUGUAGAAUCCCUCCCAAUGGCUGGGUUAGACUUUUGGGCUAGGAAUUAAAAGAGGAUGGGGCAGGGGGGCACAGAUGAAGGAGCAAAGGGCAUUCCAGGCAGAAGGAAAUAUUUAAGCCAGACACAGUGGCAUAUGCCUAUGGUCCCAGCUACUUAGGAGGCCAAGGCAGUAUUACUUAAGCCCAGGAGUUCAAGACCAGUCUGGGAGACAUAGUGAGAUUCCCAUCUUGGAAAAAAAAAAAAAAAAAAAGAAGAAGAAGAAAAGAAAAGAUUUGAACCCUAGCAAUGACUGAAAAGAUAUGACAAAGACCAGCAAGUUAAAGUCAAGCUUAGAAAAUGUGGGCCGGGCAUGGUGGCUCACGCCUGUAAUCCCAGCACUUUGGGAGGCUGAGGCAGGUGGAUCGCCUGAAGUCAGGAGUUCAAGAUCAGCAUGGCCAACAUGGUAAAACCCCAUCUCUACUGAAAAUACAAAAACUAACUGGGGGUGGUGGUGUGUGCCUGUAAUCCCAGCUACUCGGGAGGCUGAGGCAGGAGAAUGGCUCAAAACUGGCAGGAGGAGCUUGCAGUCAGCUAAGAUGAUGCCACUGCACUCAAGCCUGGGCAACAGGGUGAUACUCCGCCUCAA